AGCAGCCGCGGUAAUUCCAGCUCCAAUAGCGUAUAUUAAAGUUGUUGCAGUUAAAAAGCUCGUAGUUGAAUUUCGAGAUCAAAUUGUUGGUCGUGCCUUGGUACGCACUGGCAUUAUUGGUUUCUCCCUUCUGACGAACCAUGAUGUCAUUAAUUUGGUGUCUUGGGGAAUCAGGACUGUUACUUUGGAAAAAAUUAGAGUGUUUAAAGCAGGCUCACGCUUGAAUACAUUAGCAUGGAAUAAUGAAAUAGGACGUUUGAUUCUAUUUUGUUGGUUUCUAGGAUCGACGUAAUGAUUAAUAGGGAUAGUUGGGGGCAUUAGUAUUCAAUUGUCAGAGGUGAAAUUCUUGGAUUUAUUGAAGACUAACUACUGCGAAAGCAUUUGCCAAGGAUGUUUUUCAUUAAUCAAGAACGAAAGUUAGGGGAUCGAAGACGAUCAGAUACCGUCGUAGUCUUAACCAUAAACUAUGCCGACUAGGGAUCGGAUGAUGUUAAUUUUUUUAAUGACUCA
rnacentral:rRNA from 1 species